rnacentral:tRNA from 1 species
GAAGUGUGCCCGAGACAGGGGUUAUUUUGAUGAAAUAAACACAGAGUAAUACAACUCUCACUUCC